GACGAACGCUGGCGGCGUGCCUAAUACAUGCAAGUUGAGCGCUGAAGGUUGGUACUUGUACCGACUGGAUGAGCAGCGAACGGGUGAGUAACGCGUGGGGAAUCUGCCUUUGAGCGGGGGACAACAUUUGGAAACGAAUGCUAAUACCGCAUAAAAACUUUAAACACAAGUUUUAAGUUUGAAAGAUGCAAUUGCAUCACUCAAAGAUGAUCCCGCGUUGUAUUAGCUAGUUGGUGAGGUAAAGGCUCACCAAGGCGAUGAUACAUAGCCGACCUGAAAGGGUGAUCUGCCACAUUGGGACUGAGACACGGCCCAAACUCCUACGGGAGGCAGCAGUAGGGAAUCUUCGGCAAUGGACGAAAGUCUGACCGAGCAACGCCGCGUGAGUGAAGAAGGUUUUCGGAUCGUAAAACUCCGUUGGUAGAGAAGAACGUUGGUGAGAGUGGAAAGCUCAUCAAGUGACGGUAACUACCCAGAAAGGGACGGCUAACUACGUG
rnacentral:rRNA from 1 species